rnacentral:rRNA from 1 species
CUACGGGGGGCUCCAGUGGGGAAUAUUGGACAAUGGGGGAAACCCUGAUCCAGCAAUGCCGCGUGUGUGAAGAAGGCCUGCGGGUUGUAAAGCACUUUCGGUUGGGAGGACUGCUUCUAGCACUAAUAUUGUUGGAAGUUGACGUUACCUUCAGAAGAAGCACCGGCUAACUCCGUGCCAGCAGCCGCGGUAAUACGGAGGGUGCAAGCGUUAAUCGGAAUUACUGGGCGUAAAGCGCGCGUAGGCGGCUAGAUCAGUCGGGUGUGAAGGCCCCGGGCUUAACCUGGGAACUGCAUCCGAUACUGUCUAGCUUGAGUGCAGGAGAGGAGAGUGGAAUUCCACAUGUAGCGGUGAAAUGCGUAGAUAUGUGGAGGAACACCAAUGGCGAAGGCAGCUCUCUGGCCUGAUACUGACGCUGAGGUGCGAAAGCGUGGGGAGCAGACAGGAUUAGAUACCCUCGUAGUC